rnacentral:rRNA from 1 species
GAUGAACGCUGGCGGCGUGCCUAAUACAUGCAAGUCGAGCGAACGGACGAGAAGCUGGCUUCUCUGAUGUUAGCAGCGGACGGGUGAGGAACACGUGGAUAACCUACCUAUAAGACUGGGAUAACUUCGGGAAACCGGAGCUAAGACCGGAUGAUAUUUUGAACCGCAUGGUUCAAGAGUGAAAGACGGUCUUGCUGUCACUUAUAGAUUGAUCCGCUCUGCAUUAGCUAGUUGGUAAGGUAACGGCUUACCAAGGCAACGAUGCAUAGCCGACCUGAGAGGGUGAUCGGACACACUGGAAGUGAGAAACGGUCCAGACUCCUACGGGAGGCAGCAGUAGGGAAUCUUCCGCAAUGGGCGAAAGCCUGACGGAGCAACGCGGCGUGAGUGCUGAAGGUCUUAGGAUCGUAAAACUAUGUUAUUAGGGAAGAACAUAUGCGUAAGUAACUGUGCUCAUCUUGACGGUACCUAAUCAGAAAGCCACGGCUAACUCCGUG